rnacentral:rRNA from 1 species
GACGAACCGUCCUAACGUUGUUCGGAAUCACUGGGCUUAAAGGGCGCGUAGGCGGGCUGUCAAGUCUGGGGUGAAAUGCUGCGGCUCAACCGUAGAACUGCCUUAGAUACUGACGGCCUCGAGGAAGGUAGGGGCAUGCGGAACUGUAGGUGGAGCGGUGAAAUGCGUUGAUAUCUACAGGAACUCCGGUGGCGAAAGCGGCGUGCUGGACCUUUUCUGACGCUGAGGCGCGAAAGCUAGGGAAGCAAACGGG